CAGUGCUCACUACUGUAGCACUAAAAUCAAAAUGAUACAGAGAAGAUUAACAUGCAACCUGACCAAGUAUGAUAUGCAAAUUUGUGAAGCAUUUCAUAAUUUU